UUGGAGGGCAGUCUGGUGCCAGCAGCCGCGGUAAUUCCAGCUCCAAUAGCGUAUAUUAAAGUUGUUGCAGUUAAAAAGCUCGUAGUUGAAUUUCGGGAUCAGAGUGUCGGUCGUGCCUCGGUACGUACUGGUAUUAUUGGUUCCUACCUUCUGAAGAACCGCGAUGACAUUAAUUUGGUGUCGUGGGGAAUCAGGACUGUUACUUUGAAAAAAUUAGAGUGUUUAAAGCAGGCGCACGCUUGAAUACAUUAGCAUGGAAUAAUGAAAUAGGACGUUUGAUUCUAUUUUGUUGGUUUCUAGGAUCGACGUAAUGAUUAAUAGGGAUAGUUGGGGGCAUUAGUAUUCAAUUGUCAGAGGUGAAAUUCUUGGAUUUAUUGAAGACUAACUAUUGCGAAAGCAUUUGCCAAGGAUGUUUUCAUUAAUCAAGAACGAAAGUUAGGGGAUCGAAGACGAUCAGAUACCGUCGUAGUCUUAACCAUAAACUAUGCCGACUAGGGAUCGGAUGAUGUUAAUUUUUUAAUGACUCAUUCGGCGCCUUACGGGAA
rnacentral:rRNA from 1 species